CAGUGCUUGGAGUUCCUCUAAGUGAGAGAGCGGCCCAAUGUGCCUGUGUGAAAAAAAUACAGAAAACGGCGCAAAAACCCUGAUCACAAGGCCCAGAAGGAGAGCACCAUACUAGAGAAGAGUCCCAGACAGGGGCAGGCAGAGGUCCCAAAGAAGGAACCCAGAGAGGGAAUCCAGGGAGAGGGAACUGAGAGAAGGCCCAGAAAAAGACAGAGAGAGAGGGAACCGAGGAAGGAGGCUCCGGGAGGAGGAAACCAACGGUAGAAGUUACCUGAGCAAAGAAGGAGAUUCUCAGUAGAAAAGUGCUGCUGUUGGCAGGCUUCAACUUGCGAGGGCUUGGGAGAAGCGCUGGAGAGUGAAACAAGCAGUGGAAUGCUGGUGAUUCCGUGCUGUGGGCCAUUGAGGCAAGGGUAACCCUUUGGAGCAGCAUUCUGCUCAACAUGACUGAAGAGGUAAAGUUGUGCUUAUGAGAAAAGCUGCUAAAGUGCAGACUCAGGGAUCCAGGCAAAUGGAGUCCUGGGAGACGAGGUGUGACUGAAACCCUGUGAACUGAGGCAUCUUUGAGGAAUACACAAGGAAAGCAGUUUAAGAAAGCCAACUGCAACUCUAGUUCUGUGUGCUACUGUGUUCUGUCCUGGUGUGUGUGCUGUGAAGGUCACAGCUGAAGGACACUAACUGGGCAUCCUUGCACUUGCAAGUGAAAAAGUCUUCUUUCUCUGAUUGCUGGAAGCAAGUCAGAAGUUAGCAAAGCGACAGUCAAAAAAUUAACCUGCACAACCAAGAAUCUCCAAACCAACUGCUCAAGUGCCAAAGUCCGUGCUACCGGAAUCACCUAAAUUAAUAGCUGCAACAUUUCACCAUCUACUCCUCACAAACAAACCAAAGGACUGAUUUGUAUAUCUUUUUAACUUUUACUUUUGGACUCAAUUUCUCAUUUUUAAUCUGUGUGUAUGUGUGUUGUGUUUUAUUAUUUUUUCUCGUGUUUUAGUAAUAAAUAAACUCUUUCUUUAAUU